AGAGUUUGAUCAUGGCUCAGGACGAACGCUGGCGGCGUGCUUAACACAUGCAAGUCGAGCGGUAAGGCCCUUUCGGGGGUACACGAGCGGCGAACGGGUGAGUAACACGUGGGUGACCUGCCCUCAGCUCUGGGAUAAGCCUGGGAAACUGGGUCUAAUACCGGAUAUGACUCCAUGACGCAUGUUGUGGGGUGGAAAGCCUUGUGCGGCUGGGGAUGGGCCCGCGGCCUAUCAGCUUGUUGGUGGGGUGAUGGCCUACCAAGGCGACGACGGGUAGCCGGCCUGAGAGGGCGACCGGCCACACUGGGACUGAGACACGGCCCAGACUCCUACGGGAGGCAGCAGUGGGGAAUCUUGCGCAAUGGGCGAAAGCCUGACGCAGCGACGCCGCGUGAGGGAUGACGGCCUUCGGGUUGUAAACCUCUUUCAGCUCCGACGAAGCGAAAGUGACGGUAGGAGCAGAAGAAGCACCGGCCAACUACGUGCCAGCAGCGGCGGUAAUAC
rnacentral:rRNA from 1 species